ensembl:lncRNA
CUCUACGUCAUGCGCGCGCGACUCCGGGAGACGCUACCGCCAGGCAGCGCCGGAGACCCAACUGGUUUGGAAAAUGCCGCCUGCCUUCAACGCCUGUUUCUGACUCUUGAGGUUUCCCGUGUGGCUCCCAGCGCAACACCCAUCCGGAGGCGAUCCCGUGGAAGGAUCGCGUCCAAAAUAAAAGGGCCUGAGACCUAUGCUUAUGUAAUUCCUAAUCCGUGAUCUUUUCUGGGGGCUGAACUCUCCUCCACCACAGCCUGUUAUCAGGUACCACCUGCAAGUAAAAAAUGUGGCAGAAACAGUGAGUUGCAUCUCUCACCAAUAGGUGGGUCAGCGUGGGGAGGGAGAGGAGAUUGCUGGAGAGGGAUGGAUCAAGCUGGGAAGCACAGAACUGCAGGCCAGAGACAACUAUGGAAGCAGAAACAGGUGUGUGCUUCCAGUAACAUAGGCACCAACUGUGUGACACUCACAUGAGAAGGAGAAACACACACCUUCUACUCAUAAACUCACUAUUGACGGUGCACCUACUACCACCACCUACUUUGUGCAACACAGGAAACACUAAUCAACACUAAAGACAGUGUCAGGCAAGGCAUGGUGGCUCACGCCUGUGCUCCCAGCACUUUGGGAGGCUGAGGUGGGAGAAUCGCUUGAGGCCAGGAGUACAAGACCAUCCUCAGCAAUACAGCGAGACCCUAUCUCUACAAAAAGUUAAAAAAAAAAAAAAGACAGAGGCCAGGUGUGGUGACUCACGCCUAUAAUCCCAGCACUUUGGGAGGCUGAGGCAGGCAGAUUACCUGAGGUCAGGAGUUCGAGACCAGCCUAACCAACAUGAAGAAACCCCAUCUCUACUAAAAAUACAAAAUUAGCCGGGUGUGGUGGCGCAUGCCUGUAAUCCCAGCUACUCGGGAGGCUAAGGCAGGAGAAUCGCUUGAACCCGGGAGGCAGAAGUUGUGGUGAGCCGAGAUCACAACAUGGCACUCCAGCCUGGGCAAGAAGAGCAAAACCCUGACUCAAAAAAAAAAAAGACAAAAAACAAAAACAAAAACACAAAAACAAACCAGUCUCAUUCCUUAAUGAGUAUAAAGAAGUAAAGUCUGUUUCAGUUACUAAUUGCACAAGAAAUCCAUCCAAAACAUAGUGGUAUAAAAUAAUCAUUAUCAGGGAUUCUGUGAUUCCAACAGGCCUGGCUCGUCUCUGGUCCACGACAUGUGGGGCCUCAGCUAGGAAGACGUGGAGACUGAGUGUGAUCAAUGGGAGGGGAUUGGAAUCAUUUAGAGGCAUCUUCAUUCACAAAACCAGGAGCUGAUACUGGCUGGCAGCCAGGACUUCGACUGACCUGUGGGCUGGAACCUGUCCACAUGGCCCCUCCUUGCAUUCUCCCCAUUUGGGCUGGUUUGGCUUCAUCACAGUCUGGCAGCUUACUUCUAGGGGCAAGCAUUCCACAACACAGCACAAGGGCAUGGCAUUUUUAUAGUGCAGCCUGGCAACCUCAUAGCGUCGCUUCUGACCUACUUUAUUUAUUCGUCAGGGCAAUCACAAAGAUGUGCAUAGGCUCAAGGAAAAGAGAUAUACCCCUGACCACGCAGUGGAAGAAGUGACAAGGUCAUGUUACGAGAGGAGCGUGUGGGAUGGGAGAUAGGGCUGUGGCCACCUGCAGAAAAUAGCAUCUGCCAUAGGCUGUCAUGGUAGCGCAGGAUGGGGAUUUAGCCUAGCUGAGGAGUCAGUCAGCAAAGGCCUCGGCUAAGGAUGUGAGGGGCUAAAAGGAGACUGAGGAAGAGUUUCAGGGAGAGGAAUCAAUGAGACUGGAGUCCAGAGAGAGGCUGGUGAGUUGAAUGGUUUGCCUCAGUGUGAUGACAACACAGAGGGCAAGGAGACUGGACUGGUGCAGGAGGAGAGGAAGGUGCCAUGUGCUCUGGGUCGCGCCUUCUGUGUCGGCCCCCCUUAGAAGAGGAGCAGCUUCCAGUCAGCAGUGUCCCAGGAACACAGAGGCUGGAGAGGACAAUGGCAGCCAAUCCCCGCUCACAAACUGGUGACAGUGGGGAAAAGCUGCAUGGUCUAGAUCCACCCUGCUCCCUGGCCCCAGUAUAGAAGAUCAAAUGCAAUCUCUCCAAUCUUAUGCAGAUAAAUUAAAGGAAGACUGGAAAGAAGAACUAAUCCAUGGCUCCAUCUGCCCAUGACUAUUCUCUGCUGACGCCAGAGGAUAAAGAGACGGCACACGACAUGUCCCAAUGCAGUGGAGGUGGGGAGACCCCGCAAGUCCACAGGAAAAGAGUGAGGUUGCUGCCACCUGGGCAUCUGCUAUUCUCUGCUCUUCUGCCUCAUCCUCAAUUCAGACCAUGAUGGAGCUGAUUUUCCCCCAUUUUAUACCUUGGAUUGAAUGUGUCUCGAGCUGCUGGUCUUGUCUCCAGUCACAUCCAAGAGGUUUGUCUUUCAAAUAAAUGCUGUGUAUCAGUGUGCAGUGUAUAUAA